UUGUGUCACUGCAAUGUUGUAUGGUUGUGUCAUUGUGUCACUGCGAUGUUGUGUGGUUGUGUCAUUGUAACGUGUUGUGUUGUUGUGUGGUUGCGUCACUGUGAUGUGUGGUUGUGUCGUUUUGUGGUUGUGUCACUGUGAUGUUGUGUGGUUGUGUUGUUGUGUCGUUGUGUCCCUGUGUCUCUGUUGUGUCGUUGUGUUGUUGUGUCGUUGUGUCCCUGUGUCUCUGUUGUGUGGUUGUGUUGUUGUGUCGUUGUGUGGUUGCGUACUUGUGUGGUUGCGUAGUUGUGUGGUUGUGUAGUUGUGUGGUUGUGUAGUUGUGUGGUUGUGUAGUUGUGUGGUUGUGUGGUUGUGUAGUUGUGUGGUUGUGUCGUUGUGUGGUUGUGUGGUUGUGUCCCCGUGCUCUUUGUCCCCACCAUCCCCGCCCCCUCAGCUCCGCCCGCCCCUCCUCUUGUGCCCCCUUGUCCC
rnacentral:lncRNA from 1 species